UAAGAGGCUUUUAUAAAAGCCAUUUUAAGAUACCACAAAUUUUAAU
rfam:Physcomitrella patens subsp. patens PHYPAscaffold_265 genomic scaffold, whole genome shotgun sequence.